AUUCCAGCUCCAAUAGCGUAUAUUAAAGUUGUUGCAGUUAAAAAGCUCGUAGUUGAAUUUUUGACGUGGCUGGGUGGUCUCGCCGCAAGGUGGGCACUGCUCCGGUCGCGUCUUUCCUUCUGGGGAACCAAGGUGUCCUUUACUGGGUGCUUUGGGGAUCCAGGACUUUUACUUUGAAAAAAUUAGAGUGUUUAAAGCAGGCUUACGCUUGAAUACAUUAGCAUGGAAUAAUAGAAUAGGACUUUGGUUCUAUUUUGUUGGUUUCUAGGACCGAGGUAAUGAUUAAUAGGGAUAGUUGGGGGCAUUAGUAUUUAAUUGUCAGAGGUGAGAUUCUUGGAUUUAUGAAAGACUAACUUCUGCGAAAGCAUUUGCCAAGGAUGUUUUCAUCA
rnacentral:rRNA from 1 species